rnacentral:rRNA from 1 species
GAUGAACGCUGGCGGCGUGCCUAAUACAUGCAAGUCGAGCGAACAGACGAGGAGCUUGCUCCUCUGACGUUAGCGGCGGACGGGUGAGUAACACGUGGAUAACCUACCUAUAAGACUGGGAUAACUUCGGGAAACCGGAGCUAAUACCGGAUAAUAUAUUGAACCGCAUGGUUCAAUAGUGAAAGACGGUUUUGCUGUCACUUAUAGAUGGAUCCGCGCCGCAUUAGCUAGUAGGUAAGGUAACGGCUUACCAAGGCAACGAUGCGUAGCCGACCUGAGAGGGCGAUCGGCCACACUGGAACUGAGACACGGUCCAGACUCCUACGGGAGGCAGCAGUAGGGAAUCUUCCGCAAUGGGCGAAAGCCUGACGGAGCAACGCCGCGUGAGUGAUGAAGGUCUUCGGAUCGUAAAACUCUGUUAUUAGGGAAGAACAAAUGUGUAAGUAACUAUGCACGUCUUGACGGUACCUAAUCAGAAAGCCACGGCUAACUACGUG